GCUACAGUAGAAAAUGAAGAUUUACAUUGCUUCCUCAAGUUACCUUAAACUUAUAUGCCCAUUGCUUUUAAAAGCAUUUAAAAUUCUGCAGUGCACUUAGUAAAUGUGUAGUGUUUUAAAAAUAAAAGACAAAAAGCAAAGCCUAUUGACUUCUGUUCCCAUUUGCUGUUUUGAAAUAGGAUUUAGUUUUGUUGCUAUCUUGGAAUCAAAAAUAGUGACACCUGACCCCCUUUUUGUAAUGGAUGGUUCUUGGAAAUUAAUUUAAGUUCCUUUUAAUUGAUUUUCCAAUUUCAAACAUAAAUGUUAACCAAUAGAGAAAUAAUUUACAUAGAGAUUGCUAUAUGCUACCCUUUUCUAGUCACAUCCAUUUAGCCAUGACACAACUAAAUCUAGUUAAUUGAAGCCUCCUAAAAUGGAAGGACCGGCCUGUGAAAAAACUUGGCACAACUGCAAGUUGAUAAAAUCUGUGAAAGGUAAUUGGAUAUGGUAAAGUGAAACACCCUGUUUAUAAAUUUAGGUAUUAAUGAAGAUGGAUCGCCUUUUUGAAGUUUGAAAACAUACUGUUAUGGUAGGGGUGUCCCUAAGGAUAGGGUAAAUUAUUACUUGUCAAAAGAUAUGACAAGGUAGUACUUAGGGUGAAAUCCUUGUAUUCAAAACCUUAGCUCUGUAGAACUAGAAAUUUAUAGCCUAACCACAGUGGGUUCGUCUUUCUGGUUUACAACUGAGAAAUAUAACAUAAUUAGGACUAUAACUCUUAGAAAUAUUUGUUAAUCACCUAGGACAAUAUCCAAUAUGUGGAGUUCAAAUCUAUCAGGAAAGACAGCUAUUUUAAAAGAUAAGUG
rnacentral:lncRNA from 1 species